rnacentral:rRNA from 1 species
AACGAACGCUGGCGGCAUGCCUAACACAUGCAAGUCGAACGAGACCUUCGGGUCUAGUGGCGCACGGGUGCGUAACGCGUGGGAACCUGCCCUUAGGUUCGGAAUAACUCCCCGAAAGGGGUGCUAAUACCGGAUAAUGUCUUCGGACCAAAGAUUUAUCGCCUUUGGAUGGGCCCGCGUUGGAUUAGCUAGUUGGUAGGGUAAAAGCCUACCAAGGCGACGAUCCAUAGCUGGUCUGAGAGGAUGAUCCGCCACACUGGGACUGAGACACGGCCCAGACUCCUACGGGACGCAGCAGUGGGGAAUAUUGGACAAUGGGCGAAAGCCUGAUCCAGCAAUGCCGCGUGAGUGAUGAAGGCCUUAGGGUUGUAAAGCUCUUUUACACGGGAUGAUAAUGACAGUAACGGGAGAAUAAGCACCGGCUAACUCCGUG